UACGUAGGGGCAAGCGUUGUCCGGAUUUAUUGGGCGUAAAGAGCGUGUAGGCGGCCAGACAGGUCCGUUGUGAAAACUCGAGGCUCAACCUCGAGACGUCGAUGGAAACCGUCUGGCUAGAGUCCGGAAGAGGAGAGUGGAAUUCCUGGUGUAGCGGUGAAAUGCGCAGAUAUCAGGAAGAACACACGUGGCGAAGGCGGUUCUCUGGGACGGUACUGACGCUGAGACGCGAAAGCGUGGGGAGCGAACAGG
rnacentral:rRNA from 1 species